rnacentral:sRNA from 1 species
UAGGAAAGUCAUAAAUAUAUAAAUUAUAUUAUAUAAUUAAUAUAAUAAUAAAAUAAAUUAUAUAUUUUAUUUAUAAUAUUAUUUCUUUAUAAGAUAAAAUAUUAUCUGAUGAAUAAUUAGAUUGAAUAAUAUUUAUAAAGAAAUAUAUAUAAAAAGUCAUUAUAUAAAUUUAAUUAUAAUUUAAAUAAAUUUUAUAUAAAUUAAUAUAAUAUUAAUAAAGUAAUUAGUAUAAAUAAAUAAUAUGAAAAUAAAACUUAAUAAAUAUAUAAAUAUAGUCCAUAUAUAUAUAUUAAUAAAAAGUAAUAUAUAUAUAUAUAUUGGAAUAGUUAUAUUAUUAUACAGAAAUAUGCUUAA